GGCUCGGGCCCGCCCGGCUCUCCCCUCAGCCGGCGUCGCUCCGCAGCCCGGGCCGCCCCGCACGGCACCGCCGGCGGAACAGCACCGGGACGGAACCGCGGCACGACGGGAGCGGUGCUGAGCUCUGCGGUGGGGCGUGUGGUGUUGUGGGGAAGCGGCGCAGAUGGAAAGCUGCCGUGUGGAGCCCCACAGGACGAGUUGCAGAGGCCCCUGAAGGAAAAGGAGAAGGAAGGGCAUUUGCAGAGGGAAAGGCUGUCCCGCUGGCCUUAGGUGUUGCUGAACGGGAGGGGUGGCCAAUGCUUUCUCUUUCCACUGCCUCACGGAUGGUGGCAAAUGCCUUCUGGGGGUGGUUCCAGCAGUGGGAAGAAAACAGCUGGCAGCGGAGGGGUAAACCUCUUUGGGCUGCUGAGCUGUGUGCUGAACCAUAAGGAAGGUGGCUGUAAAGGUGUGCCGUGCAGAUGUCGUGUGCCCAGCAGUCGGGCCGAUGAAGAGCAACAAAUGAAGCGCCAGGUGGGUCGAGCUGCCAGAAUUGAGGCUUUCUUUAUUUGCCCUUGCUUUGCUUUGCUCUGCUCUGCUCUUCUGUUCUUCCUUUUCACCUCUGCUUCGCAUUGCUUUGCGUUGCUUUCUGGUUUGCUUUGCUUUGCUUUAUUUCCUACUCUGCUUCUUCUCUCUUCUUCCCGUUGCUUUCGUGUUUCCUCUUUUUCAGUUGGUUUUUAACUUGGAUGUACUUUGUUGAUCUUUUGCUUCCAUUUCUCUUUCUGACUGUUUAACUGAGUGCUGUUCUCUGUGUGUUCCUGCUGUGCUUUCGGCCGCCUUUCGCUUUCCCUUUCUUCCUUGGGCCGCCUUUCGCUUAUUGUUGUUCGUUCUAAAAGUCUCUCUGUAUUUUCUCCUCUUUUCCAGUGGUUUUUCUGUGCUCUGCUUUCAGUUUCCUAUUUGUUUUGUAAUUGCAUUCUUCUUUGCCUUCUUUUCCUUGCCUGUAUCCUUGUCCCCUUGCCUGUCUCCUUCCUCUAGCCUUGCCCUUACUUGCUUUGCUUUGCUCUGCCUUCUAAUUCUAAUUCAGAUUUCUGUACUGCUCGCUUUUGCUUCGCUUUCCAUUGUUUAUUUCCUUAAUGUGGUUUUCUUCCUUCCAGUUCAUUUAUUUGCCUUCCUUUUUUUCCUUCCCCUUUCUCUUCUUAUCGAAUGACUUAUUGUUAGUUUCCUUUCCUUUUCAGUCCCUUUUCUUUCAUUUCUUUUUAUUGUUUUUCUGGUGCUUUGCUUUGCUCUUUGGUUUUCCUUUCAUACCUUUGCUUUGCAUUGCUUUGCAUGGCUUCAUGGCUUUCUCGCUUUGCUUUGGUUUCCUUUCUUCUUUGCUUGUUUGCUUUUCUGUCGGUGGCUUUGCUUGUAUCCUUAUGGUCAUUAUUUGUUUUCUUUGAACAAUUUUGGAUGGUGUUUUUUUUCUUGUUGAAUUUCUUUGAGUCCUUUGCUUUGCCAUGAUACCCCAUUCUGUUUUUUCUUUUCCUCGGUAUUUCAUUGCUUUGCUAUGCCUUCUAGUUUUGCUUUUUUCUUUUCCCCUUUCCAUUUUGCUUUUCUUUACUGCUCCUUUCAAUUUUCCUUCCACUGUUUUUUUUUUCCUUUUGUUGUUUCUUUUCCAUUCCUGCCCUAUUCAAGCUAGUUCUCUUUGCAUUCCUUUGUGAUUCUCCUUUUUCAUCCUUUAAAUUUUUCCCUUCCUUGCCCCCUUCC